UGACGCGCUCAGCAAUUUUUGGCCCAAUUGAGUUUUUAAUCAUUGUGAGAAAAACGCUUGUAAAGUCACGCGAGUUUUCAUGUCUUAAUUUUUAGGGUUUCCCUUCAAAACAGAGUAUCUUUGAAAGUAGAAAGAAUAAAAUAAACUAGAAAGAAAUCAAAAAAUACUUUUUGAACAGCCCUUCUCAGCUUCCACGAUAAACAUUUCCCAAAAAUCUAUAUUUAGAAUAAAUACUCUGUGUAAACUUAGGAGUCAGGUCAACGAGUAAACACAUGUAGAUUCACUACCUUUUACGUCAUGUUUCUGCAUAUUUGGAGGUUUAAAUAAAUAUAAAGGUCUGACAGCCAACAUACAUUUAAGAUCUUCAACUUAGUUCAUCAGAGUUUUGAAGUAGAUAAUAUGAUUAUCCAGCAUGUUGGAGCCAUAUUCUUCAAGGAAAUGUACUUAACACAUAGAUAGUUCACCUAUUUGCUGAUGAAUAUACUAAACUAUUGUUGGAAAUGAGGCACAAUGUGUGACAUAGUUCUAUGCCCUAUUGAGCACCAGGGUUAUGGAGUAAAAAAGACAAUCACUUGUAUCAACUGUACUGUAUUGGUCAAGAAAAAAAACACUUCAAUUGGGAUGGCAUGUGAGAAGUCAAUGACUUGUCUAUGUUUGACAGUAUACCAAAAGUGAAUUACAUUCUCAUAGAAUUUGUCUUUAGAAGUAUCCCUGAAAAAGCUGAAUACUACAGUGGCAGGUGUUACAAUAUUUUUACUUAAUUGUGAAACAAGUUUUAUAUGUGAAUCACUUUUUGCUUACAAAAACUGAAGACAUAUGAGGAGACA